UUUAUUAAAUUUUUUAAUGACAAAAAAAAUUAUUUAUAAUUAUUAUUAUUAAUUCAAAAUUUCACCUAAAAUCAAUAAAUUUAAUUAUAAUUUUUAUUACAAUUUAAAUUAAUAUUAGAAAAAAUUAAUUUAUAAGUCAAGUUUAACCGCUAUUGCUGGCACUCAUAUUUAUCCUUACUAGAACUAAUUUCCGAAUAAAACUUUCAUUCAUUGUUUCAGAAUUCUCUAUUAACUAUAAUUUACUAUAAUUUUUAAUAAUUUUUAUAUUUUAUAUAUAAAUCAAUUAAUACAAUUAAUCUUAAAAACUACAACAUGAUUUAUUUAAUAAAUUUAUAAU
rnacentral:rRNA from 1 species